rnacentral:lncRNA from 1 species
CUCGAGGGGAAGGUCGAGGGGCCCCAACGGUGCUCGCCGGAGGCUUUCUUUCUCUGACUACGCGUGUGGUAUUUGGAGAGCCGCGGCCGAGCGCUUUCCGUAACGCGGCGCCGGUGUGCGACUGCAGGGAAGCCAAGGGGUCAGUUGCUGUACCGUUGAAGCGGGUUUCCUGCUGCGUGUAAUGGAAAUUGCGCAUGUCAUCACCAGUGAGCGCACAGAGGAAAAUGUUCUCCUUUCCUGGGUGACUCACCGCCGUUCUCACACGCAGGCCCAGCAGGUCACCCACCAGCACUGUUCAGCCAGAGCUGUGUUCCAGCACUCAGGAGAUGAAUACAUCUCAACCUGAAAAAUGACAUACUUUAAAGGCAUUAUGGAGCAAGACUGAAUGCGCACCCACUGAAAGUGACUAAAUGAAGAUUUUCGGAGAGAACGACGGAACAGCAGAAGGUCGGUGAAACC